rnacentral:rRNA from 1 species
AGAGGGUGCUAGCGUUAAUCGGAAUUACUGGGGCGUAAAGGGGCGCGUAGGUGGUUGCUUAAGUUAGCUGUGAAAUACCAGGGGCUUAACCUUGGGGGGGAGUCAGCUAAUACUGAGUAACUAGAGUACAGUAGAGGGUAGUGGAAUUUCCAGUGUAGCGGUGAAAUGCGUAGAUAUUGGAAGGAACAUCGGUGGCGAAGGCGGCUACCUGGACUGAUACUGACACUGAGGCGCGAAAGCAUGGGUAGCGAACAGGAUUAGAUACCCUGGUAGUCCAUGCUGUAAACGAUGACAACUAGCUGUUGGGUGCGAUUGAGCAUUCAGUGGCGUAGCAAACGCGAUAAGUUGUCCGCCUGGGGAGUACGGCCGCAAGGCUA